UACGUAGAGGGCAAGCGUUGUCCGGAUUUACUGGGCGUAAAGAGCGUGUAGGCGGCCAAGCAGGUCCGUUGUGAAAACUGGAGGCUUAACCUCCAGACGUCGACGGAAACCGCGUGGCUAGAGUCCGGAAGAGGAGAGUGGAAUUCCUGGUGUAGCGGUGAAAUGCGCAGAUAUCAGGAAGAACACCAAUGGCGAAAGCAGCUCUCUGGGACGGUACUGACGCUGAGACGCGAAAGCGUGGGGAGCGAACAGG
rnacentral:rRNA from 1 species